rnacentral:sRNA from 1 species
GCCCGUCCGCCUUCCGUCCCCAAGCGCGGCGGAUGCGCCGCGGAGCCUCCCCUGACACCCCCGAGUUUCGGCGGGAGGCUCCGAUGG